rnacentral:rRNA from 1 species
UACGUAGGGGGCAAGCGUUGUCCGGAAUCAUUGGGCGUAAAGAGCGUGUAGGCGGCUCGGUAAGUCCGCUGUGAAAGUCCAGGGCUCAACCCUGGAAUGCCGGUGGAAACUGUCGAGCUCGAGUCCGGAAGAGGCGAGUGGAAUUCCUGGUGUAGCGGUGAAAUGCGCAGAUAUCAGGAGGAACACCAAUGGCGAAGGCAGCUCGCUGGGACGGUAGCUGACGCUGAGACGCGAAAGCGUGGGGAGCAAACAGG